rnacentral:lncRNA from 1 species
UGUGCUCUCAGAAUAGCAUAAGUAUCUUCAAAAGUACAUGCUAUUUUGGAUCAGGGUUGGAGGAUUCAAAAGAUUCUUCAAGAGCAGCCCCUGGCCUAGAAAUAGGAAAGGAAGUUGAAUAAAUUGUCGUGAUGUGAAAUUCACAUGAAUUAAAAUUGACCAUUUAAAAGACCAGACAUGAGCAGAUAUUACUGGAUCUUGGACAAGUGGGUCUCUAAGGAACAUCAAAGACCCUGAGAAGCCAAAAGUUAUGAAAUGCAUCAGCAGUGGGUUGAAGACAAGACCUCUCCUUUUCCUGCUGACAUUUCUUCCAUGAGCAGUACCCAGACAGCCGACAGAAAGAGCCCAGGAGUAACCUGCCUCAAGCACACAAAUAUUUGUGUGUCUGGCCUCAAGCAAUUAACGUGUCUCCUAACAUGAGAUAAAGAUUAAAUGAAAAUUCUGUCACCCUGAAAUAAACCUGGAAGCAGAAUUCCUGAAUGUUUGCCAAAUAAGGUGACUAUCAGACUUAAGAUGCUGAACUUUGAAAUGACUGUCAUAGAAACAAAGGCAAGGCAUGGUUGGCGCCCAUUCAACCUGGUCAAUAACAUCCUUAAUUACAGGACAUGGCAUCAUUUUGAUUCACAGUGGAAUAAAAGGCAUCUAUUUGUAUA